CGCUGAGGCGGCGGUGCGUGAGGGGGGCUGCUCGCAGAUUCUCCGGUUCCCGGGAGCCGGGUGCUCUGGUGGAGGGUGAAAUGUCCGCUGCUGUUCUCCUCUAGAUCAAGCAUAUCAACUCCCUAACUCCAGAGCGUGACUUCCAGUAGGAAGGUGACAGCAGAGAUUGUCUCCAAAACCCUUUUAAGUGAGCUACAGAUGUCUUAGGCUAAGAAAAGCAAGUAUCCAAAUCCAAGAAAGCUGCAGAGGAAACUGGUGUGACAUUUGAAACUUGUUUGUGCAAGAAAAAACAGUGUGAGAAGUCAUAGUUAAAAGCAUUAAGUCAUGAGGAGAAUGAGAGACCUGAAUGAAAAGGGGGUGGUAGGUGCAUCCUCUGGGACCAGCAAGGAUCCCCAUCUCCAGCCUGUGCCAGCAGUGUCUGU